rnacentral:rRNA from 1 species
UACGAAGGGGGCUAGCGUUGCUCGGAAUGACUGGGCGUAAAGGGCGCGUAGGCGGUUCAUACAGUCAGAUGUGAAAUUCCCGGGCUUAACCUGGGAACUGCGUUUCUAACUGGCAGGCUUGAGUGUGGCAGAGGGGGGUGGAAUUCCACGUGUAGCAGUGAAAUGCGUAGAGAUGUGGAGGAACACCGAUGGCGAAGGCAGCCCCCUGGGCUAACACUGACGCUCAUGCACGAAAGCGUGGGGAGCAAACAGG